rnacentral:lncRNA from 10 species
AGCUGGUGAGCCCAAGAGUUGGCUGGUCCCUGCUGCUGUGCUGAAGCCCCCACUAUUCAUCUUCUGAGAGUCCAUUGUGAACAUCUCUUUCCAAGUCUGCAUUCAGCAAAGCCUAAUUCAUAACUUAACGGCAGCCAUGGGAGUGUUUACACCACGGAAAUUGGCAAAUGCUACAAAUCAGGUCUUUUAUUCUGGGAGCUGGCCAUUCCACGCCUAUCAGCAUGUCACUAGCUGAGACCUCAGCAUGCCUACGCAGCCCUGCAGGAGUGAAAUCCCAGGAUCCAAAAAUCCAAGGAGCAUUUCGGCUCUAAUGAGGUCACAUGCCCAAUGGGAGGCCACAAAUACACGUCCA